rnacentral:rRNA from 1 species
UACGUAGGGUGCAAGCGUUAAUCGGAAUUACUGGGCGUAAAGGGUGCGUAGGCGGUUCGUUAAGUCUGUCGUGAAAUCCCCGGGCUCAACCUGAGAAUGGCGAUGGAUAUUGGCGAGCUAGAGUGUGUCAGAGGAUGGUGGAAUUCCCGGUGUAGCGGUGAAAUGCGUAGAGAUCGGGAGGAACAUCAGUGGCGAAGGCGGCCAUCUGGGACAACACUGACGCUGAAGCACGAAAGCGUGGGGAGCAAACAGG